rnacentral:rRNA from 1 species
UACGUAGGGUGCGAGCGUUAAUCGGAAUUACUGGGCGUAAAGCGUGCGCAGGCGGUGAUGUAAGACCGAUGUGAAAUCCCCGGGCUUAACCUGGGAACUGCAUUGGUGACUGCAUCGCUCGAGUAUGGCAGAGGGGGGUAGAAUUCCACGUGUAGCAGUGAAAUGCGUAGAGAUGUGGAGGAAUACCGAUGGCGAAGGCAGCCCCCCUGGGCCAAUACUGACGCUCAUGCACGAAAGCGUGGGGAGCAAACAGG